rnacentral:lncRNA from 1 species
AGAGACACAGGCGUAUGUGUCAGCCAUGUGUGACACACGGCCAGGCGAUAUAGCCAUGUGUCCCCUAUAACUUACAAAGGGUUGCAAGUCAGGCAGUUACACGGCUUGGCACACGGGAGUGUGGCUUGGCCAUGUGACCCAAGUCAGAAAGUUACACGGGCAUAGACACGGGUUGGGACACGGUUAUGUGUCCCUAUUUCGAA